CUUAAACCAAAGGGCCUCUUAAUAUUAUCCAAAAGAUUGAUCUAGUAUAAAACAGACUCAGAAAUAUAUAUGAACAUUCUCACUCACAUGCACGAUAAAUAUGAACGACACGUAAAAUGAUAGGCAAGGUAGAAUCAGUUAAACAUUAAAGGUGAGAAUUGAAUCAAUGAUCUUACAGAACGAAUAGUUUUAGAAUUAGCUCUAAAACUAUAUUAUCCAAAAAAUUAAUUCACUACAACAAAAACGGUCUAUAGCGACACUUUUAAAUGUAGGUACAUGUCAAAAAAGUGCUGCUAGCUAAAAUUACCGACACUUUUAAAAAGUGUUGCUAUAUGUGGGGUCGCUAGGUAUAUAGUGACAGUUAAAGAGUGUCGCUAUAACCUAAAAGAGUGCUGCUAAUUUACCAACAACUUAUUUAAGCAUUUAGCAACCACCGAAACUCUAUCUCGUUGGUUGCGGUGGCGGAGGAGGACGACAUGAAUGGCUCUUCGUCUAGAAUUUCAGUGGAUUGAGUGAAGAGAGAAGAAAAUAUGUUAAUUGAUUUUUCUUUUUUUUUUUCUUUUCUAUUUGUAAUCGGGCCAAAUGGACUGGGUGUGGUGGGUUGAGUAGAGUAAUCUUUUAUUUUUGGUUGGAUUAGGCUUUAUAUUUAGGCAUUAGUAGAUGUUUCUUUAAGUUUUAGCAUAAAUGGGAUACUUACUCAAAAGUGUCCCAAACAUGUGUCCCUAUAACCUAAUUCUGUUGUAGUGAUUUAGUAAUAAACAGGGUCAGAAAUAUAUAUUGAAAACUGAUAAGCUACAUAGGAUAUUAUUA
rnacentral:lncRNA from 1 species